rnacentral:misc_RNA from 1 species
UCAAACUUGGUCAUUUAGAGGAAGUAAAAGUCGUAACAAGGUCUCCGUUGGUGAACCAGCGGAGGGAUCAUUAUAGAGUUAUAAAACUCCCAAACCCCAUGUGUAUUUACCAGUUUGUUGCCUCGGUCGACCCUUUAAGGGUAGGCCAAAGGUAAUAUUUAUAAACUCUUUUAAAUAUUUGGUCAUCUGAUAUUUUAUUUUAAAAUAAGUUAAAACUUUCAACAACGGAUCUCUUGGUUCUGGCAUCGAUGAAGAACGCAGC